GAUUUUGGUUGUUGUAUUUUUCAUGUGAUUCCUUACAUUUGUUAUAACAAUCUGAAUCCCACCAUUCGUCAAGCAACAGAGAUCCGACCAUAAAUCUUGAAGUUAAGGAUUUUGGUUGUUGUAUUUUUCAUGUGAUUCCUUACAUCUGUUAUAACAAUCUGAAUCCCACCAUUCGUCAAGCAACAGAGAUCCGACCAUAAAUCUUGAAGGUAUGUUGUUUUACUCUGUUGUUUAUGUAGUAUACAUCUUUAAUCUAAGAGAUUGAACAUGUUUAUUUUUUUCUUAAACCAAAAUCUACAUCAGAUGGUUUUUGUUGAUUUUUGUUAUGUAUAAAAUCAAGUUUCCGGGUUUUUCUUAAUCAUCAAUUCCACAUUUAUCGCAGUUAAUGAUUUUGGUUGUUGUAUUUUUCAUGUGAUUCCUUACAUUUGUUAUAACAAUCUGAAUCCCACCAUUCGUCAAGCAACAGAGUUAUAGAUAUUUAUUUCUGAACCGAGUCUGUCCUCCAUAGUUUUUUCUGAUGUGAGUAUUUCUGAUUCGAUAUUUUGUUCGAAUUAUGAUAGUUACUUAUGUAUUUUUUUCAAUACGAAUGUUAGUUUUAUAUAUUUUUAUUAAAAAAUACAACAAUUGAAUAUAUCUUACACACGAUAA